CUCUUCUGCCAGACUUUAAGAUAUCUGUUGCUAGAUUCUCCUUCUAGACUCACCAGCCCUCAGAAAAUUCCUUGUCAGAAAGUUCCCAAAUGAGCAUCUUCAGGAGAUCAAAGCUUUUCAGCAGUUGAUCUGUUGCUUAGUUACCAACUCCCUGGAGUUAUUACUUUGUUUGGAGUUAUAACAGCUUUGUCCUGAACAGGAGUCAACAUUCUGUCCAAACGGGCUUCCACCUGAAAAGAGGAUCAUCAGUGUUUAGCAGCCCUCUGAUCACCUGUCUUUAAAACUGCAACACAGAAAAGGAAGUAAAAAGAUGAUAGAGAGGGACAUCAAUCCCACAUACAAAAAUUCUUCAUACAACUUUCUGAACACUUAGAAGAAAACAGGAGGCAAAGAUGUCUUGCCUGAACUUGAUAAAUAGAAAGGUUUCAUAUAUGAGACUAAGUCUCAAAAUCUGAAAGAAGAAUAGCACAGAUUUUCUAUUUUCCUAUUCAUAAACAGAAGAAUUGGGUAUUUCUGAAGCACAUGAAGCAAAUAAAAGUCUUUUUUAUUAUUAUUCAUAACUAAAAUUCUGGUCUAUUUUUAUUCUUACUAUAGCUUUUAUGGAAAGCUAUGCAUCUGAGUCAGCACCUCAAAGAAAAGCUAAUUUUCAAUUCAUGGCAUCUAUUUAUUUUCCUCCAAUUACUUAUCUUCAUUUCCUUCUCAUUUCAUUUUUCCUUUUUGAUUCUCAUUCCCUCAGAAGAAAUUGCUAUAUAGUGCAAAUCUAUUUGAGAGAGAUAUAUCAUAUACUUGAGUAGUCUUUAGUUUUAUUAUUUUUUUUGUUUUGUUUUGGUUUGAUUUUGGUUUCUUUUUAAACUACCAUAACUACAUGGUCUUGAUAUAUAGAUCUAGAGUCUGGGAAGGAGAAAGGCUGUAUGGGAGGAACGCCCAUUUGUGCAUUUUGUGAUUGUUUUUGUGGUCAGAUCUUCAGUGUCA